UGUACUUAAAGUCAUUUAAUAAUUCUAAUUUUAUGAUAAGGGGAUAAUGAUAUUUAUAAUAAUUUUUUUAAAGCAUAAUAAUAUUUAUAUAUCAUAAAGAGAUAAAGCUAUUUGUUACAUGUAAAGGGAGACAACAUGUAUCAAAUUGUCAUGUUUGUUAUUAUGAUUGUCUUUCUUUCUACAUUUUUUGUUUCAACGAAUAUAGAUGUGAAUUUUAGAUGUAACAAAGACGCUGAAUGUCGAAAUAAGUGGUGCCGCUGGGGUCGUAAACCAAGGUGUAUCAAACACAUAUGUAAAUGUCUUGAAGUUAAUGUUGGAGUAGAUUAUGUUCCCACGUGCUUCAAUAUUUAAUGUAAGACCCAACGAGUAUACGAAUGUCAUAUAUGCUAGAAUAUUCAAAGAGUUAUCAUUUCGAUAUUUAGAUUGUAUCCAAUAAUUUAAAGAUUUUUCUUUUUCUAAUUUCAAUAAUCUUAUAGUUUGUUCUUGUACUAUAAGUUGAUUGUAUUGAAAUAAGGAAAAAAAUAGUAUCAUUUA